UUUCCGUAGGUGAACCUGCGGAAGGAUCAUUGUCGAAACCUGCAUAGGCAGACCGCGAACCCGUUCAAACAAAAUUGGGCUUGCCGUGUGGGGAAACUCCUCGGCCCGUCCUCCAACCGCGUGGGCUGCGGGUUAACGAACCCCGGCGCGGCAUGCGCCAAGGAAAACUCAUAGUAGCAUCUGUCCCCAUCGCCCCGUGCGCGGUUAGCGAGCGGGACAUGCCUCAAUGUCUAAACGACUCUCGGCAACGGAUAUCUCGGCUCUCGCAUCGAUGAAGAACGUAGCGAAAUGCGAUACUUGGUGUGAAUUGCAGAAUCCCGUGAACCAUCGAGUCUUUGAACGCAAGUUGCGCCUGAAGCCACCCGGCCGAGGGCACGCCUGCCUGGGCGUCACGCAUCGCGUCGCCCCCUGCCCGCUCCUCGGAUAUUGGCCUCCCGUGUGCGCUAGCCCGCGGCCGGCUCAAAUGAAAUCAAGUGGCGCCCUUCGUCACGGCGAGCGUAGGUUGAGCAUUUACUCUCUUACUGUCGUGAUGCGCGUGCCACGUCCUCAUAGACCCAAUGGUGCGAAUUCACGUGCCUUCGUAUGCGACCCCAGGUCAGGCGGGACUACCCGCUGAGUUUAA
rnacentral:rRNA from 1 species